rnacentral:rRNA from 1 species
UACGUAGGGGGCAAGCGUUGUCCGGAUUUAUUGGGUUUAAAGGGUGCGUAGGCGGCCCUGUAAGUCAGUGGUGAAAUCCUCUAGCUUAACUAGAGGGGUGCCAAUGAUACUGCAGGGCUUGAGUACAGAUGAGGUAGGCGGAAUUGACGGUGUAGCGGUGAAAUGCAUAGAUAUCGUCAAGAACACCGAUAGCGAAGGCAGCUUACUGGGCUGUAACUGACGCUGAUGCACGAAAGUGUGGGGAUCAAACAGG